UACAGAGGUCUCAAGCGUUGUUCGGAUUCAUUGGGCGUAAAGGGUGCGUAGGCGGCGCGGUAAGUCGGGUGUGAAAUCUCGGAGCUUAACUCCGAAACUGCAUUCGAUACUGCCGUGCUUGAGGACUGGAGAGGAGACUGGAAUUUACGGUGUAGCGGUGAAAUGCGUAGAUAUCGUAAGGAAGACCAGUGGCGAAGGCGGGUCUCUGGACAGUUCCUGACGCUGAGGCACGAAAGCUAGGGUAGCAAACAGG
rnacentral:rRNA from 1 species